rnacentral:rRNA from 1 species
UACGGAGGGUGCAAGCGUUAUUCGGAUUUACUGGGCUUAAAGCGUGCGCAGGCGGAUUUGUAAGCCCGAGGUGAAAUCUCCGAGCUUAACUCGGAAACUGCCUUGGAUACUAUAAGUCUUGAAUGACGUUGAGGUUAGCGGAAUAUGUCAUGUAGCGGUGAAAUGCUUAGAUAUGACAUAGAACAUCUAUUGCGAAGGCAGCUAACUGAGCGUAUAUUGACGCUGAUGCACGAAAGCGUGGGGAUCAAACAGG